UUAAAUGUUGAGCUUGAGCUGAAAGCAGAG
rnacentral:piRNA from 2 species